GCUUAGAGUUUGAUCCUGGCUCAGGAUGAACGCUGGCGGCGUGCUUAACACAUGCAAGUCGAACGAGAAGCCCACUUCGGUGGGUGGAGAGUGGCGCACGGGUGCGUAACACGUAGCUCACCUGCCCUCAAGACGGGGAUAACGGUUGGAAACAGCCGCUAAUACCCGAUAAGCUCCCGCGCUGUAGAGGCGUGCGAGAAAAGCGCUAGCGCUUGAGGAUGGGGCUGCGGUCCAUCAGCUAGAUGGUGAGGUAACGGCUCACCAUGGCAACGACGGAUAGGGGACCUGAGAGGGUGACCCCCCACACUGGCACUGAGACACGGGCCAGACUCCUACGGGAGGCAGCAGUGAGGAAUAUUGCACAAUGGGCGCAAGCCUGAUGCAGCGACGCCGCGUGGGCGAUGAAGGUCUUCGGAUCGUAAAGCCCUUUUCUGCGUGACGAGAACGGACGGUAGCGCAGGAAUAAGUCUCGGCUAACUACGUGCCAGCAGCCGCGGUAAAACGUAGGAGGCGAGCGUUAUCCGGAGUUACUGGGCGUAAAGCGCGUGUAGGCGGUACGGAGGGUCUGAUGUGAAAGCUCCCAGGCUAAACCGGGAGAGGUCAUUGGAAACCGCCGUGCUAGAGGGUGAUAGAGGGGCGUGGAAUUCCGGGUGUAGUGGUGAAAUGCGUAGAGAUCCGGAGGAACACCAGUGGCGAAGGCGGCGCCCUGGGUCACACCUGACGCUGAGACGCGACAGCAUGGGGAGCGAACGGGAUUAGAAACCCCGGUAGUCCAUGCCGUAACGAUGCACACUGGGUGUUCGGUCGGGGAAACCCGUCGGAGUGCCGAAGUUAACACGGUAAGUGUGCCGCCUGGGGAGUACGGUCGCAAGGCUAAAACUCAAAGGAAUUGACGGGGGCCCGCACAAGCAGCGGAGCGUGUGG
rnacentral:rRNA from 1 species